rnacentral:tRNA from 1 species
GUCAGGAUGGUCGAGUGGUCUAAGGCGCUGUGUUAAGGUUUCAGUCUCUUCUGGAGGUGUGGGUUCAAAUCCCACUUUUGACA